rnacentral:rRNA from 1 species
GUCCACGCCGUAACGAUGAAUACUAGCUGUUAGUAACCUUGAGUUAUUAGUAGCGUAGCUAACGCGAUAAGUAUUCCGCCUGGGGAGUACGGCCGCAAGGUUAAACUCAAAGGAAUUGACGGGGCCCGCACAAGCGGUGGAGCAUGUGGUUUAAUUCGAUGCAACGCGAAGAACCUUACCUACCCUUGACAUGUCUGGAAUUUGCGCGAAAGCGUGAAGUGCCGAAAGGAACCAGAACACAGGUGCUGCAUGGCUGUCGU